rnacentral:rRNA from 1 species
AGCUACGUUCGGAAGGGAUAAGCGCUGAAAGCAUAUAAGCGCGAAACCCACCACAAGAUGAGAUUUCUUUAAAGGGCCGUGGAAGAUUACCACGUUGAUAGGUCAUAGGUGUAAAGGCAGCAAUGUCAUAGCCGAGUGAUACUAAUAGCCCAUAGGCUUAUUGUA